AAAGGUAUAGCUCAGUGGUAGAGCACAUGCUUAGCUUGCAGGAGGCCCUGGGUUCAAUCCCCAGUAACUCCA
rnacentral:tRNA from 1 species